rnacentral:rRNA from 1 species
CCUACGGGAGGCAGCAGUGAGGAAUAUUGGUCAAUGGACGCAAGUCUGAACCAGCCAUGCCGCGUGAAGGAAGACGGUCCUAUGAGUUGUAAACUGCUUUUGUAGGAGGGUAAACGCAGAUACGUGUAUCUGCCUGAAAGGAUCGUACGAAUAAGGAACGGCCAAAUCCGUGCCAGCAGCCGCGGUAAUACGGAGGAUUGCAGCGUUAACCGGGUUUAUUGGGGUUAAAGGGUGCGUAGGCGGUGGGAUAAGUUCGAGGUGAAAACCCGAGGCUCAACUGCGGAAUUGCCUUUGAUACUGGUCGGCUAGAGUGUAGUAGCGGUAGGCGGAAUGUAUGGUGUAGCGGUGAAAUGCUUAGAGAUCAUGAAGAACACCGAUUGCGAAGGCAGCUUACCGGGCUACUACUGACGUUGAGGCACGAAAGCGUGGGGAGCAAACAGGAUUAGAUACCCGAGUAGUC